AUGAGUGAGAGAGCAUGCCUACUGCUCUUCUUCAUAAUCAGGUCACAUAUGUGCUGGAGUCAGUUCCAGACUGGUCACAGAACAGACAUGUUCCCCACAAAACUCCUGGUUCUGCAGCUGCUCUGGCUUAUAGGUAGCAAAUGUGAUAUACAGAUGACCCAGUCUCCAGCCUCCCUGUCUGCGUCUCUAGGAGAAAGUGUCACCAUCGCAUGCCAGCCAAGUAAAAGCAUUGACUGGAGUUUAGCAUGGUAUCAGCAGAAACAAGGGAAACCCACUAAAGUCCUGAUCUAUCUUGCAAACAGGUUGGCAAAAGGGGUCUCUUCCAGGUUCAGUGGCAGUAGAUCUGACCCACAGUAUUCUCUCAAGAUCAGCAGCCUACAACCUGAAGAUGUGGCAACUUAUUACUGUCAACAAGGUUAUGAGUAUCCUCCCACAGUGACAUAA